rnacentral:pre_miRNA from 1 species
GGAGCCAUAGGGAGGGAUCUCAAUCCAGCUUUAGGAAAAGAAAUCUGCCAGGGAGUCUUGGAGAUUGGAGACCAUCCUAAUGACUUA